rnacentral:RNase_P_RNA from 1 species
GGAGUCGGCCAGACAGUCGCGUCAUUGGAAACAAUGCCGAGGAAAGUCCGGGCUCCACAGGGCACGGUGCCAGGUAACGCCUGGGCGGCGCAAGCCGACGGAAAGUGCAACAGAAAGAUACCGCCGAUGGCCCUGUCACCCCUGUAUCGCCCAGUCAUGUCCGGACUUGGCGGCGCGCGUAGCGCGGCGACCAAGUCCUCCCUCGGGGUUUGAGGGAGAGCUCGGGUACUUGGCGACGCGCGUAGCGCGGCGACCAAGUCCUUCCCUCGGGGUUUGGGGGAAAGCUCGGGUACUUGGCGACGCGCGUAGCGCGGCGACCAAGUCCUCCCUCAGGGUUUGAGGGAGAGCUCGGGUACUUGGCGGCGCGCGUAGCGCGGCGACCAAGUCCUCCCUCAGGGUUUGAGGGAGAGCUCGGGUACUUGGCGACGCGCGUAGCGCGGCGACCAAACCCAUCCCUCAGGGUUGGAGGAUGGUUUGGCGAUACAGGGGUGGCAGGGCACAGGUAAGGGUGAAAUGGUGCGGUAAGAGCGCACCGCGAGUCCGGUAACGGACCGGCACGGCAAACCCCACCGGGAGCAAGACCAAAUAGGGAGGCUAUGCUGCGGCCCGCAGUGCCUCCGGGUAGGUUGCUUGAGCGUAGCGGCGACGCUGCGCCUAGAGGAAUGACUGUCCACGACAGAACCCGGCUUACCGGCCGGCUCCGCCG